rnacentral:misc_RNA from 1 species
CCGAGUGAGGGCCCUCUGGGUCCAACCUCCCACCCGUGUUGCACGAACCUGUGUUGCUUCGGCGGGCCCGCCGCCAGGCCGCCGGGGGGCAUCCGCCCCCGGGCCCGCGCCCGCCGAAGCCCCCCUCUGAACGCUGUCUGAAGUUGCAGUCUGAGACAACUAGCUAAAUUAGUUA